GCUAGGUGGAAACAAUGUAGCUAGAUGGAAAUAAGGUAGCUAGGUGGAAAUAAUGUAGCUAGAUGGAAAUAAGGUAGGUAGGGAGAAAUAAUGUAGCUAGGGGGAAAUAAUGUAGCUAGGUGGAAAUAAUGUAGCUAGGGGGAAAUAAUGUAGCUAGGGAGAAAUAAUAUAGCGAGGGGGAAAUAAUGUAGCUAGGGAGAAAUAAUGUAGCUAGGGAGAAAUAAUAUAGCGAGGUGGAAAUAACGUAGCUAGGUGGAAAUAAUGUAGCUAGGGAGAAAUAAUAUAGCUAGGGGGAAAUAAUGUAGCUAGGGAGAAAUAAUGUAGCUAGGGAGAAAUAAUGUAGCUAGGGAGAAAUAAUGUAGCUAGGGAGAAAUAAUGUAGCUAGGGAGAAAUAAUGUAGCUAGGGAGAAAUAAUGUAGCUAGGUGGAAAUAAUGUAGCUGGGGAGAAAUAAGGUAGCUAGGUGGAAAUAAUGUAGCUAGGGAGAAAUAA
ensembl:lncRNA